rnacentral:rRNA from 1 species
AGAUUGAACGCUGGCGGCAUGCCUUACACAUGCAAGUCGAACGGCAGCACGGGAGCAAUCCUGGUGGCGAGUGGCGAACGGGUGAGUAAUACAUCGGAACGUGCCCAAUCGUGGGGGACAACGCAGCGAAAGCUGUGCUAAUACCGCAUAAGAUCUACGGAUGAAAGCAGGGGAUCGCAAGACCUUGCGCGAAUGGAGCGGCCGAUGGCAGAUUAGGUAGUUGGUGAGGUAAAGGCUCGACCAAGCCUUCGAUCUGUAGCUGGUCUGAGAGGACGACCAGCCACACUGGGACUGAGACACGGCCCAGACUCCGUACGGAGGCAGCAGUGGGAAUUUGGACAAGUGGGACGAAAGCCUAGAUCGACGCAUGACGCG